rnacentral:rRNA from 1 species
UACGGAGGGAGCUAGCGUUAUUCGGAAUUACUGGGCGUAAAGCGUACGUAGGCGGCUUUGCAAGUUAGAGGUGAAAGCCUGGAGCUCAACUCCAGAACUGCCUUUAAAAACUGCAUCGCUUGAAUCCAGGAGAGGUGAGUGGAAUUCCGAGUGUAGAGGUGAAAUUCGUAGAUAUUCGGAAGAACACCAGUGGCGAAGGCGGCUCACUGGACUGGUAUUGACGCUGAGGUACGAAAGCGUGGGGAGCAAACAGG